UCCACGCCGUAAACGUUGUAUACUAGGUGUUAGUGGUUUACCACUAGUGCCGUAGCUAACGCAUUAAGUAUACCGCCUGGGGAGUACGGCCGCAAGGCUUAAACUCAAAGAAAUUGACGGGGGCCCGCACAAGCGGUGGAGCAUGUGGUUUAAUUCGAUGAUACGCGAAGAACCUUACCUGGGCUUGAACUGUACAUGACAGGUGUAGAGAUACACUCUUCUUCGGACAUGUA
rnacentral:rRNA from 1 species